GACGAACGCUGGCGGUGUGCUUAAGACAUGCAAGUCGUGCGGUCCCGCAAGGGACAGCGGCGGACGGGUGAGUAACACGUGGAUAACCUGCCUGACUCCCCGGGAUAACAGCUCGAAAGGGCUGCUAAUACCGGGUAAGCUCACGGAGUCGCAUGGCUCCGGGAGAAAAGGUCCUGCAAGGGACUGGGGUGAGAGGGGUCCGCGGUCCAUUAGCUAGUUGGAGGGGUAACGGCCCACCAAGGCGACGAUGGAUAGCCGGCCUGAGAGGGCGACCGGCCACACUGGGACUGAGACACGGCCCAGACUCCUACGGGAGGCAGCAGUCGGGAAUUUUGGGCAAUGGCCGAAAGGGCUGACCCAGCAACACCGCGUGAGUGAAGAAGGCCUUCGGGUUGUAAAGCUCUGUUACCCGUGAAGAACGGUACCUGCAGGAAAUGGUGGGUACUUGACGGUAGCGGGGGAGGAAGCUCCGGCUAACUACGUGCCAGCAGCCGCGGUAAUACGUAGGGAGCGAGCGUUGUCCGGAUUUAUUGGGCGUAAAGGGCGUGUAGGCGGCUUGUUAAGUCUGGAGUGAAAAUCCGGGGCUCAACCCCGGAACUGCUUCGGAUACUGAUGAGCUUGAGUACUCUAGAGGGCAGUGGAAUUCCCGGUGUAGCAGUGAAAUGCGUAGAGAUCGGGAGGAACACCAGUGGCGAAGGCGACUGCCUGGGGAGAAACUGACGCUGAGGCGCGGAAGCUGGGGGAGCAAACGGGAUUAGAUACCCCGGUAGUCCCAGCCGUAAACGAUGAGUGCUAGGUGUAGCGGGUAUC
rnacentral:rRNA from 2 species